GAAUGAUGAGACACAAGCUGGCACCAGUCUGAGAAGACUUGUACUCUUUGCAUGCGGAUCAGCUGCUUAGACUUUUAAGUCGCCUUCUGAC
rfam:Pyrenophora teres f. teres 0-1 contig_005683, whole genome shotgun sequence.